AUGAGAAUGAGAUGCAGCUCUGCGCCACUAGAGGGAGCGCGAGGGAACUUCAGAGGAGUGGAGCUGAAAACGAAAGUGAAAUUAGACGAAAAUCAGCAACGUCAUUUCGAGGAGAAAAACGAGUUAACACUGCAGAUUCAAACGGCCACCCGUUUUAUGACAUGGCAUCAAAACCCAUUGAACUGGCAGCCCUAGGAAGACCUCUGUUUCCUGGUAUGCUGUAUGACUGCCGCGAGGAUUCCUUCAUUCCAGGUGCUUUACCUACUUAAAAAAAAUAAAUAAAUGUUCAAUUUUUUCACCCAAUGGUGAAGCCACAACAAAAUUAUGGAAACAUUAAAAUACUUUUCAUAAAAAAGUUA